rnacentral:rRNA from 1 species
GUGAGGAAUAUUGGACAAUGGGCGCAAGCCUGAUCCAGCCAUGCCGCGUGCAGGAAGACGCAUCUAUGGUGUGUAAACUGCUUUUGUUCGGGAAGAAACACUCCCUCGUGAGGGAGCUUGACGGUACCGUAAGAAUAAGGAUCGGCUAACUCCGUGCCAGCAGCCGCGGUAAUACGGAGGAUCCAAGCGUUAUCCGGAAUCAUUGGGUUUAAAGGGUCCGUAGGCGGUUUAAUAAGUCAGUGGUGAAAGCCCAUCGCUCAACGAUGGAACGGCCAUUGAUACUGUUAGACUUGAAUUACAAGGAAGUAACUAGAAUAUGUAGUGUAGCGGUGAAAUGCUUAGAUAUUACAUGGAAUACCAAUUGCGAAGGCAGGUUACUACUUGUGGAUUGACGCUGAUGGACGAAAGCGUGGGGAGCGAACAGGAUUAGAAACCCCGUAGUCC